AACGAACGCUGGCGGCGUGCCUAACACAUGCAAGUCGAGCGCGAAAAGGGCAACCUGAGUAGAGCGGCGCACGGGUGCGUAACACGUGGGUAAUCUGCCUUAGAGUCGAGGAUAACCUUCCGAAAGGUUGGCUAAUACUCGGUAAGCUUACGGUGUCAUCGGACGCUGUGGGAAAAGUAGGCCUCUGUUUACAAGCUUACGCUCUGAGAUGAGCCCGCGGCCCAUCAGCUAGUUGGCGGGGUAACGGACCACCAAGGCAACGACGGGUAGCCGGCCUGAGAGGGUGUACGGCCACACUGGCACUGGGAUACGGGCCAGACUCCUACGGGAGGCAGCAGUGAGGAAUUUUGCGCAAUGGGGGAAACCCUGACGCAGCAACGCCGCGUGAGUGAUGAAGGCCUUCGGGUUGUAAAGCUCUUUUAGUGGGGAAGAAGCCCUCCAGGGUUAAUACCCCUGGGGUCUGACGGUACCCACAGAAAAAGUUCCGGCUAACUACGUGCCAGCAGCCGCGGUAACAC
rnacentral:rRNA from 1 species